rnacentral:rRNA from 1 species
CAAGUCGCACGAGAAAGGGGAGCAAUCCCUGAGUACAGUGGCGUACGGGUGAGUAACACGUGGAUCAUCUACCUUUUAGUGGGGAAUACCCCUGGGAAACCGGGGAUAAUACCGCAUAAGCUCGCAAGAGGAAAGCCGAAAGGCGCUGAAAGAGGAGUCCGCGGCUGAUUAGCUAGAUGGCGGGGUAACGGCCCACCAUGGCGAAGAUCGGUAGCCGGCCUGAGAGGGCACACGGCCACACUGGCACUGAAACACGGGCCAGACUCCUACGGGAGGCAGCAGUGGGGAAUCUUGCACAAUGGGGGCAACCCUGAUGCAGCGACGCCGCGUGAGCGAUGAAGCCCUUCGGGGUGUAAAGCUCUUUCGACGGGAACGAUAAUGACGGUACCCGAAGAAGAAGCUGCGGCUAACUACGUGCCAGCAGCCGCGGUAAUACGUAGGCAGCGAGCGUUGUUCGGAAUUACUGGGCGUAAAGAGUGUGUAGGCGGUGCUCCAAGUCUGGUGUAAAAUCUCCCGGCUCAACUGGGAGGGUGCGCCGGAAACUGGAGUGCUCGAGUGUGGGAGAGGAAAGCGGAAUUCCUGGUGUAGCGGUGAAAUGCGUAGAUAUCAGGAGGAACACCUGCGGUGUAG